AUGAACGCUGGCGGCGUGCCUAAUACAUGCCAGUCGAGCGAACAGACGAGGAGCUUGCUCCUCUGACGUUAGCGGCGGACGGGUGAGUAACACGUGGAUAACCUACCUAUAAGACUGGGAUAACUUCGGGAAACCGGAGCUAAUACCGGAUAAUAUAUUGAACCGCAUGGUUCAAUAGUGAAAGACGGUUUUGCUGUCACUUAUAGAUGGAUCCGCGCCGCAUUAGCUAGUUGGUAAGGUAACGGCCUACCAAGGCAACGAUGCGUAGCCGACCUGAGAGGGUGAUCGGCCACACUGGAACUGAGACACGGUCCAGACUCCUACGGGAGGCAGCAGUAGGGAAUCUUCCGCAAUGGGCGAAAGCCUGACGGAGCAACGCCGCGUGAGUGAUGAAGGUCUUCGGAUCGUAAAACUCUGUUAUUAGGGAAGAACAAAUGUGUAAGUAACUAUGCACGUCUUGACGGUACCUAAUCAGAAAGCCACGGCUAACUACGUG
rnacentral:rRNA from 1 species